GACAGAGGGUGCAAACGUUGUUCGGAAUUACUGGGCGUAAAGCGCGUGUAGGCGGCCAUCUAAGUCGGGCGUGAAAUCCCACGGCUCAACCGUGGAAGUGCACUCGAAACUGGAUGGCUAGAGUCCUGGAGAGGAAGGUGGAAUGCUUGGUGUAGAGGUGAAAUUCGUAGAUAUCAAGCGGAACACCGGUGGCGAAGGCGCCGCUCUGGGCCGUAACUGACGCUGAGGAGCGAAAGCAUGGGUAGCAAACAGG
rnacentral:rRNA from 1 species